rnacentral:rRNA from 1 species
ACGUAGGGGGCUAGCGUUAUCCGGAUUUACUGGGCGUAAAGGGUGCGUAGGCGGUCUUUCAAGUCAGGAGUGAAAGGCUACGGCUCAACCGUAGUAAGCUCUUGAAACUGGGAGACUUGAGUGCAGGCGAGGAGAGUGGAAUUCCUAGUGUAGCGGUGAAAUGCGUAGAUAUUAGGAGGAACACCAGUUGCGAAGGCGGCUCUCUGGACUGU